rnacentral:rRNA from 1 species
UACGGGGGGGGCAAGCGUUGUUCGGAAUUACUGGGCUUAAAGGGUGCGUAGGCGGCGCAGAAAGUAGGGUGUGAAAUCCCUCGGCUCAACCGAGGAACUGCGCCCUAAACUACUGUGCUCGAGGGAGGUAGAGGUGAGCGGAACUUAGGGUGGAGCGGUGAAAUGCGUUGAUAUCCUAAGGAACACCGGUGGCGAAAGCGGCUCACUGGACCUCUUCUGACGCUGAGGCACGAAAGCUAGGGUAGCGAACGGG